rnacentral:tRNA from 1 species
UGGCUCAGUGAUUAAGAGCACUGGAUGCUCUUCCAGAGGACCUGGGUUUGAUUCCCAG